AAUGAGCAGGCAGCUGGAGCCGAGGCCGCGGCGGAGGGCUGGCUGGCUGCGCCUGGGGCCGCGAGCGGGGAGCGCGGCGUGGAGGUGCCAGCGGACGCGGGUGGCGGCGAGUCAGGCUCCUUCAGCCCCGAGCAGAGCUAACCACAGUGGGGACCGGGGCCCGGGGGUGCGGCGGCUGCGGCUGCAGCGAGAGGACGAUGGCAGCGCCCGCCGGGGCCAGGGCACUGAUUGCAGCCCCAGACCGCGGGCGCUGGCUGUGGUCGGUGCUGGUGGCGGCGCUCGGACUCCUGACAGCUGGUGGAUCGGCCCUGGAGGUUUAUACACCAAAAGAAAUCUUCGUGGCAAAUGGGACACAAGGGAAGCUGCCAUGCAAGUUCAAGUCUGCUAACAUGACCGGCACACUGACUUCAGUCUCCUGGAGCUUCCAGCCAGAGGGGACUGACAGCACUGUGUCGUUUUUCCACUACUCCCAAGGGCAAGUGUAUGCCGGGAAUUAUCCACCAUUUAAAGAUAGAAUCAGCUGGGCUGGAGACCUCGAGAAGAAAGAUGCAUCAAUCAACAUAGAAAAUAUUCAGUUUAUACACAAUGGCACCUACAUCUGUGAUGUCAAAAACCCUCCUGACAUUGUUGUCCAGCCAGGACACAUUAGGCUCUAUGUUGUAGAGAAAGAGAUUUUGCCUGCGUUUCCAGUUUGGGGGGUGGUGGGCAUAGUUACUGCUGUGGUCCUGGGUCUCACUCUGCUCAUCACUAUGAUUCUGGCCGUCCUCUAUAGAAGGAAAAACUCUAAACGAGAUUACACUGGGUAAGAAACUCUGCUUUUAGGGGGAAGGGUGGAGGGAAGGUAACAGUGUUUAUGAAAUUUCUGUAUGUUUUAUAGAAUUGUUUUAAAGAAUUGUGGAAAAUUAGCUACUGUUUGCUCUUAAGUGGGAACUGAGCCAUCUCCUUAGAAGGUGUUCUGACAUGGGCCAGCAGAACUCAGUGGCCCGCUAUUAAUUAUGGAGGAUGACACCAAUCCCUGUUUCAGUUUCUUUUUUAAGUUUGGUGAAAUGGAUUGCUGGUAGUCUGUGCUUGAGUUCCAUCCACUCUACAAUUAGUUUUUGUUUUGUUUUGUUUUUGCUUUUUGGGGCAGCACCUGCAGCAUGUGGAAGUUACCAGGGUGGGGGUCUAAUUGGAGCUGCAGCUGCCAGCCUAGCAACUCUGGAUCUGAGCCACAUCUGCAACUCACCUCACAGAUCACAGCAACGCCAGAUCCUUUAAUCCACUGAGUGAGGCCGGGAAUUGACCCACAUCCCCAGGGAUGCUAGUCAGGUUCGUAACCCACUGAGCCACAGCGGGAACCUCUUGCAGUUAAUUGUUAUUAAGCCACAGGUAUCACUUACUCAAUGUGAGUUUAAUUUUAAUUUCUUGAUAAUAAUGUCAUGAGGUUCUUUUCAGUCAGGUAAACAUAAUGUAUAGUUAUAACAUAUAAGAAAGUUUUGCUGAUAAAUGGCCCUCACCUGAUGUCAUGAGGCAGGACUUUUCUUGUUUGUAGCUUUAUAAGUAGUUUUAUUGCUUUGAGGAUUCUCAAAUGCACGGCUGGACUCAUUUAAGCUAGGCUAAUAAGAGUUUAACACCAAAAUAUACCGGCAAUAAAGAAAAGUAGAUUUUCUUUUUGUCUGCAGCUUCUCAAAAGAAAACACGUUUGAGCAUAGGGUGUGUGUGUGUGUGUGAUCGAAGGACUUCUCUUUUCACCACUUCAGCCAGAAAGCUGGCCCGUGUGAGCUCUGUAGAACUCGUGUGGUAAGACUGAGAGUGAGGCUGGGUGUCGGAUGAUGUAGCACGAGCUGUGUUCAGGGUGCACGGAAGGGACCAUGUUCUGAAUAGAUUGCAUGCUCCUGACUCCCUGGCUGGUGGUGGUGGGAACCUGUCCCUUUGGACUCUGCUGCUCUACUUUCUAGCAGUGCUGUGUUUUUAUGAGUUUGAGUGUUUGAAGUCAGAUAUUACUUGCUUUGAAUGUUUCUCUUCUACUGACUAUACCUGCCCCCUUGCAUGGUGAGUGGUUUACAGUGAAAUAUAACUGGAGCUUUGGUUUUCAACUUGAAACUAAUCCAGGGUGGUGUCUCAGUACUUCAUGCUUUGGGGGUUAAUGAAGGCACGGAAAAGUGUGCCUUCAAAUCCUGCAUGGCAUCGUGAAUGCUGCUAUUCUUCUUACUUUGAUUUUUCUUUUUCCUCUCCCCUGCCUUUUCUACUUUGGUGUGCUGGGAUCAGAUCCUGCUUAUCUUCCACUUCUUAAGAAAAGCUGACAUAGACGACACAUUGGGACAAUAACAGGGCUGGGUCUCCUCUUCCACUCCCACUAGACACAUGCUGCAAUACAUCAGAGAACGUGUCACCAGUUAAGCAGGCUCCACGGAAGUCCCCCUUCGACACAGAGGGUCUAGUAAAGAGCCUGCCUUCUGGAUCUCACCAGGGCCCAGUCAUAUAUGCACAGCUAGACCACUCUGGCGGACAUCACAGCGACAAGAUUAACAAGUCAGAGUCUGUGGUAUAUGCAGACAUCCGGAAAAAUUAAGAGAAGACCCCAGUGACAUCCCAACAAGCAAGAAACAAAUCCAAACUGGACUCUUAUGCAGAAAAUGUAGCCCAUUACCAUGUGUGGCCUUGGAAACGUGGACAAGAACAAGCACAUGUUUAUUCAUAGAGGGAGAAAAAGAUUUGUAUAAAGGAGAUGUAUAAAUAUUCUAUUUAAUCUUCCUGAUGAGAGGAGCCAGUGUUGCAUGAUGACGGGGCGGUAUGAUUCUACGUAUGUGUAAAUUGUCUUGCUGUUUUUGUACUUCCCUUUGGGGUCACUUACAAUUGAGGAAAUUCAGACACAUUCCUGUCACCAUCACUUAGAUGUGGUCUGCCUUAAUGGAGACUGUAGCAGCUCUUUUAGUAUUCUAAUAGACAUGGCCUUUUAAUCUAAGGGCUUAACCCACCUUAGGAUGUCCUGUGGUUGGAGAGUGGCGAUACUAUGGUGGAAGCACCUUCAGGGUGGCCUUUGACCUAGCGUGCCCCCUGUUUGGUGGUGGUUUUUAGAAAACAUCCAUUCUCCAUGCCACCUGAGGACAGUUUGAGAAUUUUUAUUGAUGUUUUUCUCUCUCAAAUACAGGGCAGUUUUUAGCUUUCUAUGUUGUGUAGACAAUAACAUGAUGCCCUUUAAGCAUAUUAUGUGAAUUUGUGGAUUCAUAAUAGCGUGGAACCAAAGCCAGAGGCCACUUCCUUCCAGGUGUUUUUCAAUCAACACCACAGACAUAAUCGACAUAGAGAACCCAGGCCUGGCUUGAGGGGUCCUGUACCAUUGGAGAGCAAAAAGUAUCAGUUAUAUUCUUUGCUCUAGUUCUUCAUACUGGUAACAAGUCCUCAGACAGCCAAAGGAGCAGUGUUUCAUUUCCUUCUGAGAAGGCGGAAAUGGGAUAAUUCAACUGCCAGUCUCUAGUAGCCCAGAGCUCUCUCUAGAGAAUCUUUUUUUUAAUUUUUUUUUUUUUAUUUUUUGGGCCAUGCCUAAGGCUCAUGGGAAGUUCCCAGGCCAGGGAUUGAAUCCCUGCCCAAGCAGUGACCCGAGCUGCCACAGUGACAAGAUCCUUAACCCACUGAGCCACCAGGGAACUCAUAGAGACUUAAAAAAAAAAAAAGGGGGGGGGGACUGAGAAGAGAUUCCCAGCAUUUUUUUUUAUUCCUUUCUCCCUUCCUUCUUUCCUUUUUAUUUCACCCCCUCCCCAGUUACAUGGUAUUGAGAAACAAUAAGAUGAGGAAAAAUAUAGACAAUUUUGGCAUCCUUCUCGGUAACAUUUUUUCCCAUUGACUAUGCCCGACCCACAUCUCAAACCUAUGUGUUUUUUUUUUUAAACUGGGGAUGAAAAGCAUGGUAAAAAUCAUUAAACACUUACGUUGUCAUUUCCCCAUUUUCUGGAUGAUUUUGUUUUAAAAUAAUUUUCUUCAUUUGAAAUUGAAAACCCACAGUUAUGGGAAGAAUGUAGCAAGCCCACAUUCUUGAUAUGUAUAGUUUCCUCACAGUCAUUUUUUAUAGAGAAAAGUGGCUUUCUCCCUUUUCUCCUUUUCUCAGCAGGUCUAAUAAAUCUAUACAUUCCUAACAUGACCUGAUAGCAAGAGCCCUAAUUUCUCUGCAUGUUUGUGAAGCUGCCACCCAGAGCACCAGCCUACACUCCCGCUAAUCAGUUGUCAGCGGGACACCACCCCCGUGCACCUCCUUCUGGGCAUGACCACUCAACCAGAUACCUCAGACUUUAUUUGGCCUUCAUCACCCUCCUCCACCAGGCAAGAAUGGGCCCCUACCGACUCCCAUUCCAUGACCGACUUGUCUGAAGGAGCUGCUCACACGUGGGGCUUUUUCAGAAACUACUCCCACCGGCUCCUGUGGAUCUUUGGCCCUUUUGGUCCUGUGACUCACCAUCUUUGUCCCUGGCCACAGAUGACAACUGUGGUGGUGCUUUCAAAUGCCAGGGCUAUCCUUUCUGUGUCUAAUUACUGGCAGAGACCUCUUAAAAUUACACGAGGUUUUUCUAAGGGGGUGGGGGGGGACCUAAAAGGGAUUACUUAAGAUUAAAAUGGCAAGCUAUCUGUAGUUUUUCAAUGGAAAGGGAUCCGGCUCCAUAAAAAAACCAUCAAGUUCAUGAUUUUCUUUUUCAGUUGUACUUUUGUGAAUAUUUUAAUACAUCUUUUUCAGCUA